AGCCUGUCCUGUUGUUCCAGCUGCAGGCCACUGAAGGACCCAGCUCAAGGCCUCCUGCCAGCCAGUGAAUCUGAGACCACAGCCCCAGCGCCCACCUGCAACCCACUCUUGUCCCCAGCUGCAAGGCACAGACAGACCCAGUGGCAGGCCUCUGGACAGCCAGUGAUUCUGAGGCAAGGACAUUAUUGCCAACUUAACUCUCCUGCAGACCCCAGUGCCAAUGACCACCCGCUAGCCUGUCCUGUUUCCGGCUGCAAGUCACUGACAAACCCAGCGCCAGGCCUCCUGCCAGCCAGUGAUUCUGAGGCAGGGACAUCACUGCCCACCUACCUCUCCUGCAGACCCCAGCCCUAGCGCUCACCCGCUACCCUGUCCUGUCCUGGCUGCAGGCCACAGAGAGACCCAGCAAUAGGCCUCUGGUCAGUCAUUGAUACUGAGGAAGGGACAUCACUGCCCAACUACCUCUCCUGCAGACUUCAACCCAAUCACCCACCCACUAGCCUGUCCUUUCCCCAGCUACAGGCCACAGACAGACCAGCGUCAGGCCUCUGGCCAGGCAGUAAUUCUGAGGCAAGUACAUCACUGCUCAGUUUCCUCUCCUGCAUACCCCAACACCAGCCCCCACCCAGUAGCCUCUCUUGUCCCCAGCUACAGGCCACAAACAGACCUAGCAGCAGGCCUCUGGACAGCCAGUGAUUCUGAGGCAGAGACAUCACUGUCCCCCUACCUCUCCAGAAUACCUCAGCCCCAAUGCCAACCUGCUACCCUGUCCUUUCCCCAGCUUCAGGACACAGACAGACUCAGUGGCAGUCCUCUGGCAAGUCAGUGAUUCUGAGGCAGGGACA